UACAGAGGUCUCAAGCGUUUGUUCGGAUUCAUUGGGCGUAAAGGGUGCGUAGGUGGCGCGCUAAGUCAGGUGUGAAAUUUCGGAGCUUAACUCCGAAACUGCAUUUGAUACUGGCGUGCUUGAGGACUGGAGAGGAGACUGGAAUUCACGGUGUAGCAGUGAAAUGCGUAGAGAUCGUGAGGAAGACCAGUGGCGAAGGCGGGUCUCUGGACAGUUCCUGACACUGAGGCAGCGAAGGCCAGGGGAGCGAACGGG
rnacentral:rRNA from 1 species